AAUAGCCAAAGAUCACCGCAGGGUUGAGAGUGGGGUUGGUGAUCACCCGGACAUCUCCCCCACCGGGGGCCCAGGUAUCAUAUACACCGCCAAAGAACAUGGCUUUAAACACCAACAGUAAAGCACCACAUCCUAAAAGAAUUAGGUGAUAACCAAUAAUGUUGGUCAUUUGGUUUUUAUCUUUCCA
rnacentral:antisense_RNA from 1 species